rnacentral:lncRNA from 1 species
CGAUCCCAGUUAAGCUCCACUUCCAUAAAUUGAGGCCAAGGCCAUCAUCAUUCUCCAGGACUUCAUCAUUCCAGCUUACUUGAUCUUCGAUCUUCUUCUUCCUUGGAGAACAAGUCAUGUUAUCGAUUGAGGAUUGAUCACUGAAUGUUGCUGCAGCAUCAAUCUGAGGGAUGAUAUUAUUUCUAGGGGACUUUGGUGAGUCCAAUAUUUUCAUGUCGACAAAUUCAUUUUCCUUCAUUUUCUUGAAGAAAACUUGGGAGAGUACAGCAUCCUGAUCGGCUUCAAUGGAUCCUCUAUUAUUAUUAUUAGACCCGUUGAUCUUGUCAGUGAUUGCUGUAGGUUUCUUGACGAUGACUUGAUAAUCAUCAUCAGCUUCAGGAUCUUGGUGGCCUUCCUUCAGAAUUGCUGCUGGCUCCAGCUGAAUUGGAACUGGCACAAGCUGUUUGGCGGUCACUUUCCUGGAAGAAUUUCCUGAUGGUGUUUCAAUG